AGUCUGGAGAAGCGUCCU
rnacentral:ncRNA from 2 species